rnacentral:rRNA from 1 species
AGCGAACGCUGGCGGUAGGCCUAACACAUGCAAGUCGAACGGCAGCUCAGUAAGAGCUUGCUCUUACGUGUGUCGAGUGGCGGACGGGGGCGGAAUACAUCGGAUUCUACUUUUUCGUGGGGGAUAACGUCGGGAAACUUACUCUAAUCACGCAUUCGUCCUACGUGUGAAAGCAGGGGUUCUUCGGACCUUUCGCGAGUGAAUGAGCCUAUGUCGGAUUAGCUAGUUGGCGGGGUAAAGGCCAACCAAGGCGACGAUCCGUAGCUGGUAUGAGAGGAUGAUCAGACAGACUGGAUCUGAGAAACGGUACAGACUCCUACGGUAGGCAGCAGUGGGGAAUAUUGGGCGAUGGGCGCAAGCCUGAUCCUGCAAUACCGCGUGGGUGAUGAAGGCCUUCGGCUGGGUAAGUGAUUUUGUUGGGAAAGAAAAGCAGCAGGUUUAUACCGCAUUGUUAUGACGGUACCCAAAGAAUAAGCACCGGCUAACUUCGUG